CAAGAUCAGAUGAGCCAGUUAAUACAUGUGGGUGGUGCUAGCUGAUCCAUCAAGUGCAGGGUCUGCAAAAUAUCUCAGAAACCCUGUGAGGUAGAUGUUAUUAGAUCCACUGUGUAUAUGAGGAAAUUGAGGUUUGUAAGUCACAUGACAUGUCUCAUCUAAGCAGUGACAAAAGCUGGAAUCCAGGUACAGAGAGUUGUGACCCAAAACCCAUGAACUUUCUAUUGUAUCAUUAGAAACAUAAGGAUCCCAGUAAAUCAGUUUCAAAUUAGAAACACAUUUGAGUGAUGAAGCUAGAGCUAUUUUACAAGGUUGACUGCUAUUAUUGGAUUGAUGAAUUUUAAGAUGUGGACAUAUGUGAGAGGCUCACCCAACAGACUUCACUGGUUUCUAGACGGAGUUUCACUCUUCUUGCCCAGGCUGGAGUACAAUGGUACAAUCUUGGCUCACUGCAACCUCUGCCUCCCAAGUUCAAGCGAUUCUCCUGCUUCAGCAUCCGGAGUAGCUGUGAUUACAAACGUGCCACUAUACCCGGAGCUUAUGGUCUUUUCUUAACAUUUCUUGAUGACGAGGAUGGGAUUUGAAGUGGCACCCUUGCUUUUUCCCAACACUAUCUGGACCAAUGCAUUUGCACCUGCAAGAACCCCUUGAGCUCACUUAUCUUCCUGGCUGCACCAGGGAGAAAUGAGGUGGCUGCCUUUUCACUGUGUCUUCACAUGACUUUUCAUCUGUGUAAGAAAACCCCUGCAUGUCUUUGUGUAUUCAAAUUUUCUUUUCUUAUAAGGACAGCUGUCCUUAGAUUGGAUUAGGGCCCACUCUAAUCAGCCUCGUUUUAACUUAAUUACACUUUAUACACCCUAUUUCCAAAUAUAGUCACAUUCUGAGGUACUGGGGCUUAGAGAUUUAAUAUGAAUUUUGGGGGAAUACAAUUCAUCCCAUAACAGUGAGGAAAACAUUUUAGGGGACAUAAAGUAGUCAUUUACUAUUAUUAUCAACCAUUACUAAUUUUCCGUCUAAUAACAAGACCUUUCUCUCCUCGGAGGACCGCAUUUCAGGCUUUAUUAAGAGAUCACCUCUAUCUUCCCAAGAGUGGGCACAUAUCAAAUAUCUGGCCUAUCGGAAUACCAAAUCUCUCUCGCUACAAUGAUUUCUUCUAGGUUAACACAUUAUUCAAGCUAAAAUAGUGUGUGUCUUCAUUGUGCCUUGUUAACUAGAACCAUCAGGAAAGACAGUUCAUUUAGAGAGAUAAGUUUAGAUUGUACAUUGGCAAUCAAUAAGCACACACAAAACAUUAUAGAUGUAACAUGACAAAAUUUUACUUUUUGCCCAAGUUACAGGUUCAAAAAAGUGAGAUAUUCUCUAGAGAAUAUUUUUUUAUGUGAUCACUCAGCAAUCUAUGGAGCUUUCCUUCAUCAACAGGAAGCUACCAUGCUUCCCACAACAAGGAAAAUGAAGGCUAGAGGGAUGUGUACUGAAUUCUCCCUGCUUUAAACUGGAAUUAUUAUUUCUCCUCACAGUCCAUUGGCCAGAAAUAGUCAUAUGGCCCCACUGCUACUAGAGGGCUGAGGAUGUUGGGGAGCACAUGGCUUUUGGAUGAGAAAUAAACAUUUUUUCCACAAAGUUUAUGAAUAACAUAAGGUGUAACUGCUGUAUUUCAUGGUUAAAUGAAUAAAGCAAUUUUCAUUAGGACACAAUGAGGUCAACAUGCAAAGAGAAGCAAAAAUAUGUAGAAAGGAAAGACUGAGGCUAAAGACCGUGGACCUUAGUUACUUUCUUUUAGUGUCUUAAUUAGUGUUACCUUCUGAAUAGAGCAGUUCUGUGAGCCAAUAAAAAUAAUUAUUAUUAUCAAUAUUAUUUUAUUGUUAGUUAAGUUUGCAUCCAAAAGCAACUGGUAGAGGUCUACCUCAUUCAAUAUACUGAUAUUAUUAUUAUUAUUAUACAUUAUAAUUAUGUUUUAUGUUUUUCUAUUAAACUUAAUUUGUGACA